rnacentral:lncRNA from 1 species
UUACAAAUUUUUCAAAAAAAAAAACAGUAAAAAGUCUGUCUAUCAUACAAUAAUUUCUGAUCUUUUUGAAAGUUUGCCAAGUGUCUCUUUUCCAGCUAAGUCUUUCUUUGUAUGAUCAGAUCUUUCUUGAAUCCUUAUCUUGUCUCAUAAUUGUGUCGGUCAAUGCUGUUUAAAGAUGCUCCUCCAUCAGUAUAGUUUUCAGGUUAGUAUUUAAAGGAUUAUAAGAAGGUUAUAAGGCGGUUAUAAAUCAAAUUAUAAAAAUCCUACUCAGUACUCUUCUUAAUUGAAAUAUCUUUUGAUAAGAUAAUAUCCUUUUUUUUUUUUCACUUUCAAAACUUUUCUUUGAAAUGAUUAAAGUAUGCCAUGUGAGAUAUAUGAACUUGGGCCUAACUCCAUUCUUGCAAGGACACCACUGGCACUCCCUUAACAAAAAUUCUUAAAACAGUGAUCCUUUUCCCCUUUCUAUGCGUUUCAUUAGCCUUUCCACUAGGCCUUUACGCUUUGAAGGGUCACUCAGGGCUUAUUUUCAAAAUAGUUUAAACUUUAACUUGGAGUUAAGAUAUGCUCUUAUCAUAUACUCAGCAUGAAACAUAAAACUUUACAAAGGAUUUACAGAAACAAAAAUCUCAUAAAUAACAUUUGUUCUUUAAAGAUCUGGGACUAAUAUUGAUUAUUAAUACUAUAUCUUAGAACAAUAAAACAUACCUACCGGAAUGAUCCAUCAGUAGUUUAAAAAUAUAAAUAUUUUUUAUAGGAUAUUAUCAUAUCUAAGAAUAAAAACAAUUAAGAAUUUCCUUUUCGGGGAAGAGAGAAAAUUAGAACAUGUUUCAAAGAAACAAAGAACUUUUAUUAUUUUUCUCUAUUCUGUGUGUUUACAAAUGAAAGAAUGAAAGAAAAAGGAAGAAAACGCGUUUUUCAAAAGCAAGGAAUCUUUGCUUUUUCAAAAACGUCAAAAAGAAAACAGUAAAAAGUUUUAUUAUCAAAUCUUACUUUAUAAAACAGUAAGAUCCGUUACAAAUUUUUCAAAAAGAAAACAGUAAAAAGUCUGUCUAUCAUACAAUAAUUUCUUAUCUUUUUGAAAGUUUGCCAAGUGUCUCUUUUCCAGCUAAGUCUUUCUUUGUAUGAUCAAAUCUUUCUUGAAUCCUUAUCUUGUCUCAUAAUUGUGUCGGCCAAUGCUGUCUAAAGAUGCUCCUCCAUCAGUAAAGUCUUCUGAAUUAUUGUCCUCUUCUGUAUUAUUAUCCUCAUAGUCUUCUUUAAUAUCAAUUUUCUUUUUGCCUUUGUUUUUCUUCUUUAUCUGCAACUUCUUUUUCUUUGAGGUCUUUUGUUUAACUUGUUGCUGUAAUUCUUCUAUUUUAUCAAACAUUUCUUUCAAUCUUUUUAUAUCUGAUUGAGUAAUUUGCUCUGGAUCUUGUGAUGAUUGAAAUGAUUCUGAUAUAAGAUUAACUGGGCUUUUCUGUUU